AUUCGAUUUUUUCAUCUUUUUAUUUUAGUUACUCUUGUUUUUGGUUUAAGAGCUCUGCUUCUUACAGGAACUUCCAGCUUUACUUCCGACAUGAACGGAAGACCCACUCGUUGCUUUGCAACGAGCUUUGCUCUAGUUAGGGUCUUCCGUUUUCCAACGGAAGACCCUUUUGUUUUUCUUCGGUCUCUUUUUAUUAUUAUUAUACUUUUUCUUUUUUUUCUGACUCCUUUUUUGCUUCAUAACUCAAAAAGUUUUCAAGCGAUUUCAAUGAAACUUCCAGAGAUUUUAGCAAGUAAUCGUCCCUCAAAGAUGUUAAAGUUUUGAAGACAACGUCACUUCCGUUUUGACGUUACGUCAUUUUUAAAAAUUUUAAAAAGUCAUUUUGUCCGGGACUUUUCUCAAAAACGCUUUAAGAUAGAGGCUUGAAAUUUUCAAUGGUUAUGAUUUGGUCGAUUUUCCUCUGUAAUGAAGCUAUAUAAUAAAAAUCCGUCACUUCCGGUCGAAACUGGAAGCGAAUCAAAUUUUUCGAAAAAUUGAAUUUUUUGAUCAAACAAAAAACGUAUACGUAUUUUGUAGAGCUUUCUAAGCUGAAUCUAAUGCUGAAAACCGUUUAAAAUUCGGAGCAUGAAUUACAGAGAUAUCGGGGUUUAAAAACUGAUUUUUCCGGAAAUUUUGAUGCCGCGUUCUUGGUUUCAAAAAUAGUGCAAAAUUCACACUGAAAGUAACUUCUACUGUAACAAUUCGUACUGAUCAUAAAACUUUAUUAAAAACAUAAAAUUAUAUGCAUAUUGUAUAGUUUGCAAAGCUAAAUACAAAACUGAAAUUCGAUUUAAAAUCGGAUACUGCAUUGCAGAGAUAUCGGGGUUUAAAUAUUGAUUUUUCCGGAAAUGUUGAUUCCUCGUUAUUGGUUUAAAAAAUAGUGCAAAAUUCACACAUAAAGUAACUCCUGCUGAAAAGAUUUCGUACAGGUCAUAAAACCGAACUCCUUUUUUAUAUAGUUAAUCAGAGUGUUUAUUGAAACAAUUUCGUUAAUUCGGUCGAUAAUUAGGUUGUUAGUUUUUAUUAGUCUUAUUAGUUUUAAUCGAAAUAAUUAUCGUACGAUUCACUAUGUCAACUCGCCAUGUUUUGACUGCGAACAACAGCUGAUAGCGGUGUGUCAGAAGAAUGGCCUGCAAGACGGCGAUAGUGGAAAUUUCAGCUCAACUAACGUAUGACAGAUUAUAAAGCUAUUGGUGGCCACAUGGUUUUUACCUGUUCAUUCUUUUCAGCUCUUGAGGUUAACCUGUCACCUCUACCCACAUGCAUAUUCCUAAUGUGUUCUACAGACUAUUUACCAGUAAUUCAAAUUAAAUCGGAUAAUUCAUGAACAGUUACUGUAAUGGAACUUUAAGAAAGCAUCAUGCCUUGUUGUGGUUUGUGUUUGAUAAGAAAUUAUAACAAACAAAAUUAUGGCUGUUUAAAAUAAUUUAGAAUUGUUAGCUGUGAAAAUUUGUUUUUCAAUAAAAGUAUGCAAUUAUG